AUGGAGAUACUUGGAGUGUCAUAUUUACUCACUGGCCCUACCGAACUGGUCAGCUGCCGUAUUAAAGGCUUACAUCUGGUAGCAGAAGUGCCAGGUGGCCACCUGGGGUUUGAGAGCUUCACUUUGCCAAAGCUGAGAGACUUAGGGAGGUGGUGGUUUGUUCUCUUGCUUGUUUUUUUGCUUAUGUGUUUGCAGGUUGUUUCCCUGAGGGGACAUGGAGGCUGGAGUGCAGGAUUUCAGUCACACGAGAGAGCCUUCUCAUGCACUAGCAUAGUGGCCAAUAUGGAUUAUGAUACACAUUUCAAUUUGUCAAGCUUUACUUCAUUUAAAAAGUUCCAAGAUGGCGAUGACAGACGUGCACCAUAGUCUUGCAUCUCCAUGAAUCUGAAGUAAAGCCUAAGGUAUGUGACUACAAGGAAAGGUGGGCGAUUUAGAAAGGGCUGCAUUGGCACUGCUGUGAAACAGUGCUGGUGACCAGAGGAAAUCAAGAAAUACCAGAACAAACAAAAGGACUUUCUGUGUCUCCAUGAACCUGAAACAGAAUCAUCAGGUUUGUGGUUGAGGGAGAGGACUGUGGUGAGGAAAAGUAAGGGAAGGCAACAGUAAGGCAGUGGACAGAAUGCAGAUGAAAUUCAGAAUUAAUUGAAUUUUGGACUUAGAAAAGAAGCAACGAACCCCAACACAGAGCUUUGACCAAAACACUAUGAAAGGGGAGAGGUUACAGAAACAGCCUGAAAGAACGAGAGAAGUCUGGGUGCGGUGGCUCAUGCCUGUAAUACCAUUUAUUUGGCAGGCAAAGAAGAUCUGGAGGAUUGUGGUUCGAGAGCAGCUGUGGCAAAAGGUUAGUGAGAUGCCAUCUCAACAAAUAGUCUUGAGUGUGAAGGAGGAGCACGCCUGUCACCUCAGCUAUGUGGGAGGUGUGUGUAAGCAGGAGGAUCACCGUCCAGGCCACCUGGGCCAGAAGGCGUGAGACCCUACCUGAAAAAUAGUAAAUGAGCAAAAGGGCUGGGGUUGUGGCUCAAGUGUUAGAGCGCUUGCCUAGCAAGUGCAAGGUCCUGAGUCCUGAGUUCAAAGCCUAGUCCUGGAAAAAAGGGAAACCAAAAAGGAAUGGGAGAAAAUUUUUUGCCAGCUAUUAAUUGGAUAAGGGAAUAGUAUCCAAUCCAGAAUAUAGAAAGAACACCAAGACAUUAACAGAGAACAAGAAAUAACCCGACUAAUAAAUGAGCAAGUGUAUUGAACA
rnacentral:lncRNA from 1 species